AACGAACGCUGGCGGCAGGCUUAACACAUGCAAGUCGAACGGGUGUAGCAAUACAUCAGUGGCAGACGGGUGAGUAACACGUGGGAACCUUCCUAGGGGUACGGAACAACUCAGGGAAACUUGAGCUAAUACCGUAUACGUCCGUGAGGAGAAAGAUUUAUCGCCCUUAGACGGGCCCGCGUCGGAUUAGCUAGUUGGUGGGGUAACGGCCUACCAAGGCGACGAUCCGUAGCUGAUCUUAGAGGAUGAUCAGCCACACUGGGACUGAGACACGGCCCAGACUCCUACGGGAGGCAGCAGUGGGGAACCUUGGACAAUGGGCGCAAGCCUGAUCCAGCCAUGCCGCGUGAGUGAAGAAGGUCUUCGGAUUGUAAAGCUCUUUUGCCAGGGACGAUAAUGACGGUACCUGGAGAAUAAGCCCCGGCAAACUUCGUGCCAGCCGCCGCAGUAACAC
rnacentral:rRNA from 1 species